rnacentral:lncRNA from 1 species
CCCCCUCCGCCCGCCGCCUCUCACGCUCCUUCGAGGGCUUCCGGUUCCAGCGGGUCUUGGGCCCGGGCGUCCUCUCGCGUGGACAGGGCGGUAGAGGAGUGCGAGGCCCGGGAGACCUUGGUUAACGUUACUGGCUCUCAGAAGGGGAAUCUGAAGGAGAUGAACCCUGAAGAACCACUGAUGCCUGGAACUGUGUGUGGUACCCACGGGAUCCCUUUGUGCUCGUCACUUCCUUUGGUUCUGCAUGCCUGGCUUAUCGUAAGAGUUCAACACAUAUUUGCUGAAGGAAGGACUGAGGUUACUUUAAUCAUGGAUGGGCUGAGUGUGUCCUCAGCUGUCUCACAUCAGGAGGAUGUGCGAGGCUCUAAUUGGAAUGGUCAAGCAAAGUCUCUCUGACCAGAGCCCUGAAGGAUGAAGAGACAGCCUUGCAAAGAUCUGGGGAACUAAAAGAGCCAAGGGCUUCACUGGGCAAGAUCUUGGUAUGCUUGACUCUGCAAGAAGACAACUGAGAUUGAAAGACCUACACGCUCUUCCUAAUUCUAAUAGCUUGACCUUGAGCAAGUCAUUUUACCCUGUUGUGACGUCAUUUUCCACAUCUCUUGUGCAGCCCGAUCUGUGAGCACAUUUAUUGCCUGGUAAAUAGAUAUUGACUGAAUGAGUGGAUGAAGAAAGUAAUCUGAAAGACACAGCAAGAUUGGAUUAUCUCUAAAUACCCUUAUAGUUCUAAUUAUAUGACUAAUAUUUAUUGAAUGUUUGCAGAAUGCAUGACAUGGUGUGAAAUGUUUUAAGUUGGAGGAAGAUGGCAUAAACAAAGCAUGGUUUCUGCUUUUGCCUUGGUUAUAAUCCAGUGAAACAGGCAUCCAGGAAAAAGUGAUGGAAAAUUUAGCACUAAAAUAAAUUUAUUCAGGAGUCAACUCUCGUAUCUGCUUUUAAUAAAUGUGUAUGUCCUCUUGGUACAAGUUAGUUUGACCCAUUGUUCUACAUUUGAAGAUAUUUACAGAUGAUUCACGAUUCAAACAUACCUGCUACUAAAGGUGAGAUCAAAUUCUUUAUUUUUUCAGCAUGGAA